rnacentral:rRNA from 1 species
GACGAACGCUGGCGGCGUGCCUAAUACAUGCAAGUAGAACGCACAGUUUAUACCGUAGCUUGCUACACCAUAGACUGUGAGUUGCGAACGGGUGAGUAACGCGUAGGUAACCUGCCUGGUAGCGGGGGAUAACUAUUGGAAACGAUAGCUAAUACCGCAUAAUAUUAAUUAUUGCAUGAUAAUUAAUUGAAAGGUGCAAUUGCACCACUACCAGAUGGACCUGCGUUGUAUUAGCUAGUAGGUGAGGUAACGGCUCACCUAGGCGACGAUACAUAGCCGACCCGAGAGGGUGAUCGGCCACACUGGGACUGAGACACGGCACAGACUCCUACGGGAGGCAGCAGUAGGGAAACUUCGGCAAUGGACGAAAGUCUGACCGAGCAACGCCGCGUGAGUGAAGAAGGUUCUCGGAUCGUAAAGCUCUGUUGUAAGAGAAGAACGGGUGUGAGAGUGAAAAGUUCACAAUGUGACGGUAUCUUACCAGAAAGGGACGGCUAACUACGUG